GGACGUAGCUCAGAGGUAGAACGUCUGCUUUGCAUGCAGAAGGCCCCAGGUUCAAUUCCUAGCAUCUCCA
rnacentral:tRNA from 1 species